rnacentral:rRNA from 1 species
GAUGAACGCUGGCGGCGUGCCUAAUACAUGCAAGUCGAGCGAACGGACGAGGAGCUUGCUCCUUUGACGUUAGCGGCGGACGGGUGAGUAACACGUGGAUAACCUACCUAUAAGACUGGGAUAACUUCGGGAAACCGGAGCUAAUAUCGGAUAAUAUAUUGAACCGCAUGGUUCAAUAGUGAAAGACGGUUUUGCUGUCACUUAUAGAUGGAUCCGCGCCGCAUUAGCUAGUUGGUACGGUAACGGCUUACCAAGGCAACGAUGCGUAGCCGACCUGAGAGGGUGAUCGGCCACACUGGAACUGAGACACGGUCCAGACUCCUACGGGAGGCAGCAGUAGGGAAUCUUCCGCAAUGGGCGAAAGCCUGACGGAGCAACGCCGCGUGAGUGAUGAAGGUCUUCGGAUCGUAAAACUCUGUUAUUAGGGAGGAACAAAUGUGUAAGUAACUAUGCACGUCUUGACGGUACCUAAUCAGAAAGCCACGGCUAACUACGUG